rnacentral:rRNA from 1 species
UACGUAGGGGGGCAAGCGUUGUCCGGAUUUAUUGGGCGUAAAGAGCGUGUAGGCGGCCAGGUAGGUCUGCUGUGAAAACUCGAGGCUCAACCUCGAGACGUCGGCGGAAACCAUCUGGCUAGAGUCCGGAAGAGGAGAGUGGAAUUCCUGGUGUAGCGGUGGAAUGCGCAGAUAUCAGGAGGAACACCGAUGGCGAAGGCAGAUCUCUGGGCCGUAACUGACGCUGAGGAGCGAAACACUGGGGGAGCAAACAGG